UGGGGAAUAUUGCACAAUGGGCGAAAGCCUGAUGCAGCGACGCCGCGUGAGGGAUGACGGCCUUCGGGUUGUAAACCUCUUUCAGCAGGGACGAAGCGCAAGUGACGGUACCUGCAGAAGAAGCACCGGCUAACUACGUGCCAGCAGCCGCGGUAAUACGUAGGGUGCAAGCGUUGUCCGGAAUUACUGGGCGUAAAGAGUUCGUAGGCGGUUUGUCGCGUCGUUUGUGAAAACCAGCAGCUCAACUGCUGGCUUGCAGGCGAUACGGGCAGACUUGAGUACUGCAGGGGAGACUGGAAUUCCUGGUGUAGCGGUGAAAUGCGCAGAUAUCAGGAGGAACACCGGUGGCGAAGGCGGGUCUCUGGGCAGUAACUGACGCUGAGGGACGAAAGCGUGGGUAGCGAACAGG
rnacentral:rRNA from 1 species